rnacentral:rRNA from 1 species
UACGAAGGGGGCUCGCGUUGCUCGGAAUCACUGGGCGUAAAGCGCGCGUAGGCGGCUUUGCAAGCCGGAUGUGAAAUCCCCGGGCUUAACCUGGGAACUGCAUUCGGGACUGCAUUGCUAGAGUAUGGGAGAGGGAAGUGGAAUUUCAGGUGUAGCGGUGAAAUGCGUAGAUAUCUGAAGGAACAUCAGUGGCGAAAGCGACUUCCUGGACCAAUACUGACGCUCAUGUGCGAAAGCGUGGGGAGCAAACAGG